AUACGGAAGGUCCGGGCGUUAUCCGGAUUUAUUGGGUUUAAAGGGAGCGCAGGCGGAGAUGCAAGCGUGACGUCAAAUUUCGGGGCUCAACCCCGUCUCGCGUCGCGAACUGCGUCCCUUGGUUGCGGGAAGGGGAGGCGGAACUCGUGGUGUAGCGGUGAAAUGCAUAGAUAUCACGAAGAACUCCGAACACGAAGGCAGCCUGCCAGCCCGUUAACGACGCUCAUGCUCGAAUGUGCGGGUAUCAAACAGGAGUAGAUUCCCUAGUCGUACGCACAAUAAACGAUGGACUCCCGCGGUUGGGCCUGUAUGACUGAGCCGCCAAGCGAAAGCGUUAAGUGUCCCACCUGGGGAGUACGCCGGCAACGGUGAAACUCAAAUGAAUUGGCGGGG
rnacentral:rRNA from 1 species